GAAGCAUUAUAAUAAGGAAAUGUCGUAAAUACCUGAAUUUCAAUAUAUGUUAAAGUUAUUUAUCACAUGUUUUUGUCUUCAUAAACAUAUAAUUCUCGAUAUAUAGUUAGUAAUUAAAAAAAAAGAACCCCUCAAAAAGCAUUAUAAGAAAAUGUCGUAAAUACCUGAAUUUCUAUAAUUCUAAAGUUAUUUAUCACAUGUUUUUGUCUUCAUAAACAUAUAAUUCUCGAUAUAUAGUUCGUAAUUAAAAAAAAUAACCCCUCAAAAAGCAUUAUAAUUAGAAAAUGGCCUAAAUAAUUGAAUUUCUACAUAUAUCAAAGGUAUUUAUCACAUUUUUAAAAUUAAUAAACAUAUAAUUGUUGAUAUUUCGUUAGCAAUAUAUAAGGAUGAGCCCAAAAUAGCGUCAUAUCAUCAUUAAAACAAUUCUCCACUCGGGUUCUUAGUUUUAUUAUUAUUCAUCUAAUCUCCUACAUUGUUACCUUGAGAUGAAAAAUGUCUUUCUCACAGGAAGAAUCAACAUGGUGGAGGAGAGCGGCGGGCGGCACGCACCCUCCCCGCACGCCGCCUCCUUUGACACUAGGAGUUAGUAUGUCUGGGUCUGGGUCAUGGGUUCGGCCGCGACUUUUUAACAGGGGCGACGAGAGGACACAAUCAGCAUGGCGAAGUAUUAUUAUUAUUAUCAUUAUUAUUAUUAAGGUUAUUAUUAUUAUUACUGACACACCGGUUGCUCGGCUUUUCCAUACGCACAUUGAUAAGGUUAUAGUGUGUUGUAUUCCCCUCGAGAAGAGAGAGGAAUGGACACACUGUUAUAGGAGUUGUUUAUCUGUUGGUACAAGGACACCACUUCUGUUUGUCAUGGUUUUGGUGAAGCUGCGAAGAUGAGGGAGGCGAGAGGAAGGUGUCAAAAGGAAGGACACGUAAAGUUAUAUUGAGACGAAAAUAGAGUUGGUAUGAUGAGACGGAAGGGAAGUUGACGAGAUGAAAGGCAGGAAAAGAAAGUAAUAGAAAGGUUUUGGAUUUGAAGAAGUAAAGGGAGGCGAAAGGAAGGUAUCAAAAGGAAGGACACGUAAAGGAAGUUAUAUUGAGACGAAAAUAAGAGUUCGUAUGAUGAGACGGAAAGGAAGUUGACGAGAUGAAAGACAGGAAGAGAAAGUAAUAGAAACGUUUUGGAUUUGAAAAAGUAAAGAAAGUUGGUAAGAUGAAAGAUGCAAAAAAUUUAUUAUAAUGAGACGAAAAGGUUGUGAUGAGAGAGACGAAAAGGAAUGGAAGCAAUAGAAAGUGAAAGAAAAAUCAUGAAUUUAAAGGGAAAUAAAAAUAUAAAGACACUAAAAAGUUAAGGAAGUUUUCAGAUUUUCUUAAAGUUUCAGAUAGAAUUAAAAGUUUCGGAUGAUAAAGAAAAACAAGAGAUAGCAGGAAAAAAGACAAAGAAAUGAAACAGCUAAAAUUCGCCUUAGUUUCAAAUCCCAAAAGUUUCAGAUCAAGUAAAAAAGAUGAGAAAGAAAGUUUCAGAUAUCAUUAAGAAGAGAAUUCAGAAUGUUCAGAAAAAAUACCAAUGAAACGAGAUGAAACAGCAAACAAAGACACACACACACACACGAACGAACGAACGAACGUAUAGGUAACACCACCACAUUUGAGUUUCAUUAUUAAAAGUUAUUCACAUUUAUUAUUAUCACACCACUGAGAGAGAGAGAGAGAGAGAGAGAGAGAGAGAGAGAGAGAGAGAGAGAGAGAGAGAGAGAGAGAGAGAGAGAGAGAGAGAGAGAGAGAGAGAGAGAGAGAGAGAGAGAGAGAGAGAGAUAAACAACACACACACACACACACACACACACACACACACACACACACACACACACACACACAUGUACAGAAUGAAAACAACACAUCGCUGGUUUCUACAAAAAUGAAACCAGCAGGAAUUUGAAUAUGAAGAACUGGAUGGAUGGUUUUCUUAUAGAUUCUUUACACUGAACAUGAUCUUAAAAGGGAAAAAUUACUUGGGCACAUAUUUUUAAACGUCUCGGGAUCCCACAUUACGAUUAUUUCCCAAGCCCACAGAGAAGACUAGCCGGGUUUUAAUGGGUUCUGUUUUUCCCGUUCAAGACGCAGAAGUCGUGUAAAACUGUCACCAGGGUCACAAAACAGUCCAUGAUAACCACAGGAACUUAUACUACCAGAGGCUUUUGAAGAUGAGGGAGGCGGAAGGAAGGUGUCAAAAGGAAAGGAAGGACACGUCAAGAAAGUUAUAUUGAGACGAAAAUAGAGUCGGUAUGAUGAGACGGAAAGGAAAGUUGACCAGAUGAAAGACAGGAAAAGAAAGUAAUAGAAACGUUUUGAAUUUGAUGAAGUAAAGGGAGGCGAGAGGAAGGUAUCAAAAUUAAGGACACGUCAAGAAAGUUAUAUUGAGACGAAAAUAGAGUCGGUAUGAUGAGACGGAAGGGAAGUUAACAAGAUGAAAGACAGGAAAAGAAAGUAAUAGAAACGUUUUGAAUUUGAAGAAGUAAAGGGAGGGGGAAGGAAGGUGUCAAAAGGAAAGGAAGGACACGUCAAGAAAGUUAUAUUGAGACGAAAAUAGAGUCGGUAUGAUGAGACGGAAAGGAAAUUGACAAGAUGAAAGACAGGAAAAGAAAGUAAUAGAAACGUUUUGAAUUUGAAGAAGUAAAGGGAGGGGGAAGGAAGGUGUCAAAAGGAAAGGAAGGACACGUCAUGAAAGUUAUAUUGAGACGAAAAUAGAGUUGGUAUGAUGAGACGGAAGGGAAGUUGGCGAGAUGAAAGACAGGAAAAGCAAAUAAUAGAAACGUUUUGAAUCUGAAGAAGUAAAGAAAGUUGGUAAGAUGAAAGAUGAAAAAAGAAAGUUGUUAUAUUGAGACGAAAAUAGAGUUGGUUUGAUGAGACGGAAUGGGAGUUGACGAGAUGAGAGACAGGAAAAGAAAGUAAUAGAAACGUUUUGAAUCUGAAUAAGUAAAGAAAGUUGGUCAGAUGAAAGAUACAGAAUGAAAUGACUAUCACCGGCAUCACAAAACAGCCCUUGAAAACCACAGCAUAACUUCUACGAGAGGCUUUUGAAGAUGUUGAAGCCGCGUUAAAUUAUCACCGGCAUCACAAAACAGCCCUUGAAAACCACAACAUAACUUCUACGAGAGCCUUUUGAAGAUGUAGAAGCCGCGUUAAACUAUCACCAGGGUCACAAAACAGUCCAUGAAAAUCCCCAGUAAGUCCCGCGAGAGAAGAUGUAGAAGCCGCGUUAAACUAUCACCAGGGUUACAAAACAGUCCAUGAAAAUCCCCAGUAAGUCCCGCGAGAGAAGAUGUAGAAGCCGCGUUAAACUAUCACCAGGGUUACAAAACAGUCCAUGAAAAUCCCCAGUAAGUCCCGCGAGAGAAGAUGUAGAAGCCGCGUUAAACUAUCACCAGGGUCACAAAACAGUCCAUGAAAAUCCCCAGUAAGUCCCGCGAGAGGCUUUUGAAGAUGUAGAAGCCGCGUUAAACUAUCACCAGGGUCACAAAACAGUCCAUGAAAAUCCCAGCAACUCCCACAAGAGGCUUUUGAAAUUGGCGAAGUGAGGACCCAAGACGUUUAAAAAUUCGGGCUAUGGAAACGAGGUACACACACACACACACACACACACACACACACACACACACACAUAAGAUUGGAUGGACAUUAAUAUAGGUGGGUUGCCUCGGUCUACGAUGGUGACUGGUGCGAACGAACGGACAUACGAACGAAUAAACGAGUGAUCGAGUGAAUGAUGGAAGAAAAGGAAUUUGUUUGUUUUUUUGUGUUUGUGUGUUCGUGUGUUUGUUUUGAGUUUGUUGUUGUUGUUGUUGUUUAUGAAUUGUUUGUUUUUCCUGACUGUUGAUGUUGUUGUUAUUCUUCUUAUUCUUAUCAUUAUUUAUUUUUGUAUAUAUUAUUAUUUAUUAUCAUUUAUUAUCCUUAUUCUUAUUACUAUCAUUAUUUCUCUUUUUUUUCUUCAUUUUCUUUCUUUUCCUUUCCUCUUACGAAAAACACGUAUUACAGAUUUACAUAUUAUAGGAAAUUGGAAAAAAAAAACAAGAAUUAAUGAAGAAAAAGUAAAAAAAUGAUGUACACACACACACACACACACACACACACACACACACACACACACACA